GAGUAGAGUUUGGACAGCGCACGUCUCUGGAUUGGUACCGCAAACGUGUCGAGCGCCCAUUGGCAGUGUGGUCUGCUAUAUAUGGCUUUUCUUCGCCCAUUGAAAUCUCAUAAUAUCUCCUCCUACUUCGCCAGUAUCUCUCUCGAGCGAAGCUGCGUCUUUAAACCCUAGCGCUCGCCAGCAGAAGAAAUUUAUUAGGGAAGAAGAAGAGUAUGAACUAAACAAGGACGACAAGUCCUCCUAGCUACAGAGAAGAAGAGGAGGUUUGGUUGUUACUCUCAGUAGUUAAUCAUCACCUCUUGCAAUGGCUGACGCUCCUGAAGCCGAUAAGAACAUUGAGAUAUGGAAAAUGAAGAAGUUGAUAAAGGCUCUGGAAUCUGCAAGAGGCAAUGGAACCAGUAUGAUAUCUCUUAUCAUGCCCCCACGCGAUCAAAUAUCUCGGGUUACUAAGAUGCUGGGGGAUGAAUAUGGAACUGCUUCAAACAUUAAAAGCAGGGUGAACCGUCAGUCGGUGUUGGGUGCAAUUACAUCUGCUCAGCAGAGGCUUAAGCUUUACAGCAAGGUUCCUCCAAAUGGAUUGGUGCUUUAUACUGGAACAAUUGUUACUGAGGAUGGGAAGGAAAAGAAGGUCACUUUUGAUUUUGCGCCUUUUAAGCCAAUAAAUGCAUCUCUAUACCUUUGUGACAACAAGUUCCAUACAGAAGCUUUGAGUGAACUCCUAGAAUCUGAUGACAAGUUUGGUUUUAUUGUCAUGGAUGGAAAUGGGACUCUCUUUGGCACAUUAAGUGGCAACACCCGUGAGGUGCUUCAUAAAUUUACAGUUGACCUUCCAAAGAAACAUGGAAGAGGAGGACAGUCAGCUCUUCGAUUUGCUCGUCUUCGGAUGGAGAAGCGACACAAUUAUGUGAGAAAAACAGCAGAACUCGCCACUCAGUUCUUCAUAAAUCCUGCUACCAGCCAGCCCAAUGUUUCUGGUUUGAUACUUGCUGGGUCAGCCGACUUCAAAACUGAGCUUAGCCAAUCUGAUAUGUUUGAUCCUCGCCUACAAGCCAAGAUACUAAAUGUGGUCGAUGUUUCUUAUGGAGGGGAGAAUGGUUUCAAUCAGGCGAUUGAGCUUUCUUCAGAGAUUCUAUCUAAUGUGAAGUUCAUACAAGAGAAACGUUUGAUAGGGAAGUUCUUUGAGGAGAUUAGCCAAGAUACAGGGAAGUAUGUGUUUGGUGUAGAUGACACAAUGAAGGCUCUGGAAAUGGGUGCCAUUGAGACACUUAUUUUGUGGGAAAAUCUGGACAUAAAUCGAUACACGCUGAAAAACAGCACAACAGAUGAAAUUGUUAUAAAACACUUGAACAAGGAGCAAGAGGCUGACCAGAGCAACUUCCGUGAUGCUGCCACUUCUGCUGAAUUGGAGGUUCAGGACAAAAUGUCAUUACUAGAGUGGUUUGCCAAUGAGUACAAGAGGUUUGGUUGCUCACUUGAGUUUGUCACUAACAAAUCUCAAGAAGGAUCACAAUUCUGUAGGGGAUUUGGUGGCAUUGGGGGAAUCCUCCGUUACCAGCUUGAUAUUAGGUCUUUUGAUGAGUUUUCGGAUGACGGUGAAAUUUAUGAAGACUCUGAAUGACAAUCAAUGAGUUGUUUUCUAGCGCUCUUGCAAGACAACGGACUGAAAAGUUUGCAUAUUGGUGCAAGAGCGAUCGUGGGUCAGAUGCAUCAUGUGUUCUGUGGGAAUAUAUCUUCUGUUAAUGCUUUAUUAUCAAUCCGUGUUCUGGUGCAUCAUGUGGGUAUAUUUGGAGGCCUUCUAUGGAGGGAGGAUGAGACCUGAGCCUUCAAUCAAGGAAUUUCAUGAUGUAGAACACUGCAUAGGGCUGCCUUGGGGUUUUGGUUAUUUAAAACUUUAGGUAUUUACCUCUCCUGGUUUUCAUUCCAACCUAAAUGAAGGUGCAAGGAGAAAUCUUGUGGAACUAUUUGGAAUCAGACCCAAAAAUUAUUUUGUAUGCUCUGUAACAUGUUUGUCGGAUGGAUGCUUAGAACUUGUAUGAUGCCGUAUUAAUGUCUUCAUAUGUGCUUUGCCUAAA